AAGAUGGAAAGAGAAAGAAGGAAAAAACCAUCAGCAAUAAGUUCCAGGUGCUGCGUUUGAUUGGAGGAUCGCAGGAAACAUGGGGGGAGGAGGAGGAAUGUAGUUUCCAAUUCUUUUAAAUAUCACUAUUCCAGCUAAAGAUGUAGCUCAGUUAUAAU